UUUAUCCUUUUCCUCCCUCUCUCUUUCCUCAUCUAUGGCUUCAAACUUUAUCAAUGUCAAAAUAUCAACGCUAAAUUGCAGACAUGGUGCACCUAUUUUUUCAAGUGAAAUAUUACUUCUUUGAUUUUUAGGAGAUACCAUUUAAGAUCUUCAUCAUUCAUUCCUAUGACAAUAUUACAGCAGAAGGUUAGAUUCAUAUUACAGCUUUCUGUCUCCAAUUUAUCUUCUCCGUAGAUGUCAAAUCAGAUUUUCUCAAUGAACAUAUUAGUAGUUGAUCUAUUUUUUUCGUUCCAUUUUCUUUCUACUUUUCCCCUAUCAAGCAUAAAUUAUCUUUUUCUAUUUAAUAGUACUUUAGUUACUCUGUUUUCAGAGGCCUAUCUUAAUACAUGGGAAAUAAUGCUAGGAAAAGGACACUCAUACCAUAUAUUCUAGAUGAUGUGUUUGCUCAAAGUUGUCAUAUUUCUCCAAUGUUUUUACCUCAGUAUUUACAACAUCAACAUACCCAUUGAAAUAUGAUAUGUGGUGGUUGGAGAGGAUAGAGUGUAAGCAGAUCUUAUCGCUAAUUUGUAGAGGUCAAGAGGCUUUUUUUGGAGACCCUCGACUCAAGUAUAACAGUAGAAUAUCAUUCUCCCAAUUCUCACAAAGACAAUGUUAUGGCGCUAAUUUUCUUAAUGCUCCAAACUGUAAAAUCUAAUACUGCUUCUCUGAACAAAAAAAGGAGGCAUAAGCACAUAAAUUUCAAAUCAAAGUUGCAGUUAUUUAAAAAAUAAAAAACGUCACUUAAUUGAACCAAAUGCUUAAAAUGUGAGUGAUAAAGAAUAGAAAAGCCCAUCCAAUUAUGCACUUAAAAUAAUGAGGAUUAAUGUGAUACAAAAUUAGUUAACAUUUGGUUCCUAGCAUUUUCUUUAAUGUGUAUAUCAUUGUGUCACAUGUAAUUACAAAAGCACUACUAAAUAUUUGAAUUAUUUGAUGUAGGAGAUAUUCUAUAAUUUUUCUUGUGAGGGUAUUUAUUGGUUUUGUCCAGUCAUUAAUAACUUGAACUAGUUUUGACUAGAAUUCAUAAAUGCAACUAAGCCAAAGAUGAACAGAGGUUAACUGAUCUCCUUCUAAUAAUGAGGAUAUGGCAGUUUUCAAAUUGAUAUAAGAGGUUUCCCACCAGUGACAGCUCGAGGCCUCAUGCAAACGAAUAAACAUAUCUUUGGUGACUACAAAACACAAUUUCCUGAACAAUUUGUCCCAUAAAAAUUUCACAUUCAAAAGGAUAUACCAUCAAACAAAUUAUGGAAAGGUGGCAGUAUACCCUUUAUAAUAGAUUCUAUUUCUUUAUUAAUAGAAAUUAUUACCAUACACCGUUCUCUAAAAUUGAUAUAUAAACUUUCUAGCAUUCAUGUUAAUGAUCGUAUAAAGUCAAAAUAGGACAUUGAGACAAAACAAGAGAAAAACUCCUUUCUGGAGAAACAUUGGUACAACAACUCUUGGAAUCCUCAAUUCAGGAGAAAUUGAAAGGAUUGGAGGAUGAAUGGCAUGAUGGCAUUGCUAGUUAAGCUAUCAAGUAUCACUGUCAAAUCUCAAGUAAACGAUAGGAUGGAAAGAGGGACUGUAAGGAGGGAAAUUUUAUAGUGAAGAAAGUAUAUGCUCAUCACUAUUCAAAGAAUGAGGUGUUAAACACUGGCCAUGGAAAUUAAUCUGAAAACACAAAAAUGCCUACCAAAGUGAUUUUCUUUAACUGGAUUACUUUUAUUUUAGUAUGCCUCACCCAAUAUAAUCUUAGAAGAGAAAGAUCCAAAUAGUAAAUAGGUGCUACAUGUGCAGUACGGUAGGAGAUUAGUUAGAUAGUUAAGCGUUGUCUUGCUUAUUCUUCUAUACAUUUAGUCGCAGUAAACUGGGUAUAUUGUUGUGCUACAUGUGCAAUUUGGAUUUUGAAGGUGUUAGACAUGUCCCUUUGCAUUGGUCUGUAGCAUAAGAUAUUUGAAACGUGUUCUUUUUUUUUGAAUAGCCUGGAUCAAGCUAACAACAUCAAGGAAGAAUAUGAAAGAUGUGUAUGCGGGAGAAGUUAAAAAAUGCAUCAUAAAGGAUUGAAAUGGUACCUAUUGCGGUGCUGCUAUAUUUUGGUGCAUCUGCAAUGAACAGAAUCAAAGAUGUUUUCAUGGGAUUUCAACACCUACGCAUGUACUCGAAGCAAAAUAUUUAUUAUUAUUUUUACUUGGCUCAAGCAGGCCCCUAUAACUAGGUUGUGUUCUACUUUUGAAUUGUGUUUGCUCCUUAUUGACUGAAUAGUUAUGUUAUGUAUAUGAGCAGAUGACUAUAUACCUCUUUUGUAAAAUUCAAAAUUAAUUACACAUUCUUGAAGUGAAAAAAAAUCAUUAUUUCUACUUAAUGAAUUAAUGAAUGUCAGCGUAUCUCCUC
rnacentral:lncRNA from 1 species